AUUCAUCUUCGGGGCAGGGUGUAAUUCCCGACCGGCGGUAAAGGAAAGUCACUUUCCAAGCCCGCGAGCUUAACAGCUGAUACCGGUGUAAUUCCGGAGCCGACAGUAUAGUCUGGAUGGGAGAAGGUGAAG
rnacentral:ncRNA from 1 species